CUCCAUGAAAUUUUAUAUAGCCGCAGUACACUGACUGUGCUAAGGUAGCAUAGUAAUUUGUCUCUUAAUUAGAGACUGGUAUGAAAGGGAGGUCGACGCUUGCCCUAUUCUGGGGUUUACAGGAAUUUAAUAUCUGCCUUAAAAAGGGCAGCUUUUUGGGGGGACGAUAAGACCCCGUGAAACUUUAAUUUAAUUCUCUUUUCGCCUUUUCGAAUUUGGAGUUUGGCGGCGGAAGGAAGAUUUGAAUUAAGCUGGGGCGGCGGUUAGACCACUUUAACAGAUUUAACAUUUUAAAUGAAACGGCAGAGCUUAAGAAAAAGUUAGAACAAGUUACUCCGGGGAUAACAGCACAAUUUUCCCGGACAGAUCGGACGGAAGGGGAAGACUUGUGACCUCGAUGUUGAAUUGGAAUGCCCGGUAGGAGCAGAAACUUACAGGGGGAGUCUGUUCGACUUUUAAUUUUUC
rnacentral:rRNA from 1 species